UCCCCUCAUUUUUAUAUAUAUAUAUAUAUAUAUAUACAUAUAUAUAUAUAUAUAUAUGGGGGGAGGGGGUU